GAUCCUAGCGCGGAGCUGCGAGCCUGACCGGCCGCGUCUGGCAUGGUCAGAGAAAGAAUUUUCUUUUCCCAACUCCGGCUUUUGGUUUUGUGUGUCCACCUUGCGCAACUCCGGAGCCAGCCGACCCCACAUGGAUUCUCAACAGGUGGCCGGCACAUCUUCUGAGCCUCGCUCUCUCAUCUGAAAGUGGAGUGUAAGUCCAAGAAGAUUCAUUUAGACAAAGAAGGUGGAAAAAAAGGACUUUCUGGGCCAGCAAGUCGGAUGACCACCCUCCAAGGGGCAGAGGAGGGCCCAUUUUGUGAAGAAGAAAUCAACUACCCGGAAAACGCCACAGGAGGACAUGUUUCUGCAGAUGUAGUUGCCCUAGAAACAGAAGAGUAUGGGGGUGUGAAUGUCUUCUCUUUUGGGGGCAAACACUAUGUCCUUUUCUUUUUCUAGAUACAGUUAAUUCCUGGAAAUUUUAGCGAGUUUGUUCUUGUGGAUAUUUUGAACAAUAAAGAGUGAAAAUCACUUUGGAGUCACUUAAUCUUCGUUAGAAGGGCAGUUUCUUCCAGGGCCAUUUUCUUUCACCAGAUUUGUUUUUCCUCGUUCCCAAAUGAGGUAGUUUUAAAAAUCAAAGUCCACUUGCUAACUCACCUGGGAAAGAGACUGCGACAGAAGGAAGAGAAGUAAAUAGACAUCACUCUCAAACUAAAAGUGUAACUUUCAUUCCUGGCAGCUGAGAUUCAGAACACAAAGAAACAAACUCGUUUACCUUUGAGUAUUUCCCCCGUUUGGGUAAUUUAUCUAGAGCUUUCCCAACAAUUAAUCACAGCAUCUUGAAGUUGGAAAUGUAUGCUAUUAUUUUCAGCCUUACAAGGUUCGUCAAACUCUGCUUCUCUGGUUUUAAAAACUGUUUGCUUCUACAUAGCUAUGCCCGUUGCAACAUUUAUCACUCAAGCAGAAAAGCAACUCGUUUUCUCACAGCCUCAAAUGCCCCGUGUACAGUCACUGGAGCGAAUUUAUUUUUCUCUGUCUUUCCCAAAUGCCCUUGUCACCUCUGCCAGGGCCACAAGACUCGGGGCAAAACUUCGGAGGUUUGAGACCUCUUGAGUGUGUGGAUCGCUAUUAUUGUUAGUUUUUUUGUUGGGAGAAAUCGUGCUCGGUGAUCGCGUGCGGUUGUCUCUCUCUAAGCCGACUAGGGUUGCCUGCGCCUUCCUCAGCAGAAACUCCUAGAGGAAGCUAACCAUUUCCGCUGCCCGGGGCAAAGGGCUGAACGGUGUUGUCGGGUCUAGGGUUGGGGUGGGAAAGUGAGGACGGUAUGCGGAUCGGGGAGGGGGCAGUCAUCAUCUUCAACAAUAAAUUAAAAUAACCUGAUACCCCUUUAAUCCCUUCCAUCAACAGUGUCAACGCGCUAGAGAGGCCGUCUCACCUCCAAAGGUAUCUUCACUCCCGGAGGGCCCGGGCUCCCAGCCGCAGUCCCACACUGGGCCCGCGCGCCGGAUACGAGGUGCUCCGACGGCAAAAAUCCCAUACAUUUUUAACUACAGUGAUUACUAAAUUAAUAGCAGGCACUAAGACAGAUGUCAAAACGUCUUGAAAAUGUUUAUCUGUGAAUAAUUGAGAAGGUGGUGGGACGCAUUAUCUGAUUGUGUAAUGAAAUAUGUAUGAGGAACAGCUGUUUGCAACAGUCCCCUCCCGCCGCCUCCUCAGCCAAGGCCCUUCUCUAGGAAGCAGGAGUCGCGGCGAAGUUGGUCGCCUACUUCCGUCCACUUGGGAGCCCUCGCGGCCCCUCCCCGGCUGCUGGCAGAAUGGUGGCUCCAGCGCGCCCCAGAGUAGUCCGGUUUCCCGACGGACAACAGCAUGGAGUCCUCCUCAGCCUCGCUCUGUGGGCUCCGUGCCUGAGUGAGGCUCCACCGCCGGCCGCGCUGUCCCUCGCGCCUUCGGGGCCGGCCGCGGGCUCGGCCUGCGGGGACCGAGGGGAGCACUGGCCCGGGCGGCCGCGGAGGCCUGACGUGCGCCCACCGGGCGGUGCGGCCUGCUCGGAGGCGAGGCCCGGGAGCCCCGCGGCUCAGCGGGGCGGGCCUGGGGUCACCGAGGGGUGACGGGGCUCCGGAGAGGGCUUUGUUCGCGCUCUCGCCACACUGCGCACUUCCUUCCAGCCCCCUGCGGCCCCCACCCCAAACCUCCGCGCCCCCGCCCUGUUUGUUUUUCCAGCCCCGCGCCCUCCACCCCAACACGCAAACAGCCCUCGGGGCUGCGUCAGCGGCCUGAGGCCGUGGCCCAGGUCAGGCCUGAGUCCAAAUGGGGCCAGCACGGCGAGCCCUGGCCCCGCAGGAAGCGGUGUGAGGGGGAGAGGGAGCUCCAGGGCCUUCCUGGCGCGAGAGGGGCAGGCGAAGGCCGGGGGGAAGGUGGUCCAAUAGGGCGCACGGCCUGGGCGGGCGGCGAAGGCCCGAGGCCUGGGCUCGGAAGGGUGCGGGCGGCCUGCGCGGCUGCCCAGCCCCUGCCGCUGUCCCCAGCCCCAGCUGGACAGGGGAGGCGCGGCGGAGUGGGGGUGAGGAGGACGCCAGGAAGGGCCCCAUCGGGCCUGGGCCUUGAAG
rnacentral:lncRNA from 1 species